rnacentral:rRNA from 1 species
AGAGUUUGAUCCUGGCUCAGGAUGAACGCUGGCGGCGUGCUUAACACAUGCAAGUCGAGCGAAGCAUACCUGCGGAAGUUUUCGGAUGGAAGCGGGUAUGGCUGAGCGGCGGACGGGUGAGUAACGCGUGGGGAACCUGCCCCAUACAGGGGGAUAACAGUUAGAAAUGGCUGCUAAUACCGCAUAAGCGCACACUGUCGCAUGGCAGGGUGUGAAAAACUCCGGUGGUAUGGGAUGGACCCGCGUCUGAUUAGCUUGUUGGUGGGGUAACGGCCUACCAAGGCGACGAUCAGUAGCCGGCCUGAGAGGGCGACCGGCACAUUGGGACUGUGACACGGCCCAAACUCCUACGGGAGGCAGCAGUGGGGAAUAUUGCACAAUGGGGGGAACCCUGAUGCAGCAACGCCGCGUGAGUGAAGAAGUAUUUCGGUAUGUAAAGCUCUAUCAGCAGGGAAGAAGAUGACGGUACCUGACUAAGAAGCCCCGGCUAACUACGUGCCAGCAGCCGCGGUAAUACGUAGGGGGCAAGCGUUAUCCGGAUUUACUGGGUGUAAAGGGAGCGCAGACGGCAAUGCAAGUCUGGAGUGAAAACCCGGGGCUCAACCCCGGGAGUGCUUUGGAAACUGCUAGCUGGAGUACUGGAGAGGUAAGCGGAAUUCCUAGUGUAGCGGUGAAAUGCGUAGAUAUUAGGAGGAACACCAGUGGCGAAGGCGGCUUACUGGACAGAGACUGACGUUGAGGCUCGAAAGCGUGGGGAGCAAACAGGAUUAGAUACCCUGGUAGUCCACGCGGUAAACGAU